rnacentral:lncRNA from 10 species
UAAGAAGCUAUAGUUGUAUAUGGAAUGAGCAGUCAUAUUAAUCAGACAGAGAAUGGCUAUGGUGUUUGUUGUACCUUCCAGUCAGAGCAAACCAGUAACAUUAGAAAUCUUUGUGGUCUCCAAAAUUCUUGCAUCUCUGACCCUUCUCAAGUGUCAUCCUCUCUAUUUUUCCCCAUUUUCCCUUCCUGGCAAACUCCUACUUAUUCCACAAUUUCUCAAAUGCCACUUCUGCAACGACUUUUCUCUGUCUCUCAUAUGACCUUAAAGAGCUCUCUUUUCUGUGCAGUUACUAAAGUUAGGUACAUCCACAUCAUACAAAUUCAUUACUAUAAUUUUGUAUGCUUCCCCCAGUUCCUAUUGGAUAGUGAACAAAUAUAUGACAAAAUAUAUAUUUUCAUCUUCUAAUUUCUAGUUAGAUUAUUUAAUUUUUAAAACAACUUUUGAAAGUAGCAAUUUUUACUAUUCUCAUUUUACAGAUGAGGAAAAUGAGAUAUAAAAGUAUAGAGUAACUUGUUCAGUUAUAAAGCAAGUACAUGGCAGACUUAUACCCAAGCAGGGUGGUUCCAGAAUCCUUACUAUAUAAAUAUCCUCAUCAGACCUGUCUGAACCCCAGUCUUCUAUUUCUUACUCUUCUUCCAGAGAAGGUUCUUCUAAUCCUCUUCUCCCAACAUCCCCACCUCUUCUCUCAUCACAACUUGAUUUCUUCCUCCCACAAAGUAUGUUGACUCCCACCUAAUUAUGGAGACUAAUACGGAGUUAGCUGGAGCCCUAUCCUGGCUCCAGGGUCCAAGUGCUCCUCUUACAACCCUCAGGCUACUCAGUAUACAAAGGACUCUCCAGCUAUGAGGGCCCACCCAUCAUGGGAGGGAGUGGGGGUUUAUAAAUAAAAAUUAUAAUAUUAAUAAAACAUCUGCUUCAGGUUGAGCUCAAAAGAAACCAGACUCUGAAUUGAAGAUUAACAUAUAGGACUUUACUGGGGAGCUCUUGCAUACUUAAUUGGGAUGAUACUUGUGGAAAGGGAAGAGAAAAAUGCAGGGUGGGCAGAGUGAGAAGCUGAGCUGUGAUAUAUAGCUCCAACAAAGGCCUCAGCUUACCCCAUGGGGAGUUCUGGUGUUGGUAUGGUCUUUCAGAAUUAUACCAAUUUGGGAUACAGUGGCCAGGCCAUAGAUCAGUCAUAGGAGGCAGGUUGACUCUCAAGAGGAGGUGUGACCUUGACUAAGGAGGGCUGAAACUGAGGGCUGUCUUCAGCAUCCCUUCCUGCAGCUGGGGAAGUUAAGUCCUCCAUUCCUUCAUUUCUGCUACUUUCUGCUGCAGUGGUUAACUGUGUGCCUUCUGCCUCCCCUCAGUCCUCUGGCUGGUUAUGUUUAUUACAUGUUCUGACAGUUGAGGCCUUUCUGGUGUUCUCCUCACAGCUUACCACCAAGAGCCUUCUGGGGAUCUGGCAUGUUGAAAAUGCUCUAGCCGGUUCUACCUCCCUACCUUUGGUCAUUUUCUUUUCCUGCCUGGCAUCCUCUCUGACCUUUCCCUUAACUCUUAUCCAUAGUUAAUGUUCCAGCUCAUUUUACACCUUCUUUCCCACAAAGCUUUCUGCCUUAGUUUGAGUUACUCAGAAAA